UAAGCCACAAACAUCUUGAGAGCUGCACAGGU
rnacentral:piRNA from 1 species